rnacentral:lncRNA from 1 species
CCAUAUAUAAAAAAACACAAACUGAUUACACACAAUAUGAAAACAAAGUUAAAACUAUGCAGAACUCACAAAUAUUACAAUCCUUGAACAAGGGACAAAUGUUUUCACACAAAUCCAACUUACAACAAUUUUGAUUACAAACAAAAUUCAGCACUCAGGUUUCACAAUCCUUGAAUUCAUACGACAAUGUGGCAAUACAACAAUCGAAACUAUGGGAUAACGCGGCGUCUGACCCCUUCGAUCAGCUCUCUCAUUUGCCUGAAAAUCGGUAGAUGGACAAUCUCAAACAUUGUGACUAUAAUAGGAACAUUAAAAUGUGAUAUUGCAAAGAUAUUAGGUAGACCUAUGCAAAUCCUUGUGAUAAUCUAAAUAAUUUAGAAUCGAUCAAACUGCUUGAUAAAAAUAAUGCAAACUCUCAACUUUGAGGGAACAGCCUGUGACUUAAAAUACAAUUUUAAUGUACCAAAUUAAAUAAACAAAUCUUGAUUUCUGCAACUCAUUAAAAUCAAGAGCACAUCAUAUGAGUUAGUAACAUCUACACAAAUGCUUAUGCAGAGCGGAAAAGAGGAACCAAAUUUUACGAGCACGAUAUUAAAUACGAGUUUGGAAAGGCAAUGUAAUUAAUAAAUAUUUUUUAUAGUAUUUUGAUUCGAAUAUUUUGUGAAGCAAUAAUUCUUAAAUUAAAAAAUCCAACGCAGAGAGCAGCUAGAGACUCACCUGCGGCAGCUGGGGAAGCAACUCUCGAUUCAGAAGCAACAUAAGCUAGCCUCAACUGCAAAACGACGACGUACCCUUCACUUGUAAAACAUGUUUUCACACUAAUCCUUCAACAAGGGACUAAUGUUUUCACACUAAUCCAACUUUCAAACAAUUUUGGUUACAAACAAAAUCCUUCCAUCGGCUCUUUCAUUUGCCUGAAAAUCGAUAGAUGGACAAUCUCAAACACUGUGACUAUAACAGAAACAUUAAGACGUAAUAUUGCAAAGUAGUAAGACUAACCUGUUAGGCAAGUUGCAGACUCACUUGACCUCAAAAAGAAGAUUCGAUGACAAGUUGAAAGGAAAACUUGUCUUUUAAUUCAUUGGCACAAGCGACAACUAAAGGAUUGCACUCGACUAAAUUAAUGAUCUCUAUCCAAGAGUGGUCAUACGGCCAAUCGAGCUGUUGUAAUUUGUAGCAAUGCUGCAUGCUUAGUCUACGAAGCUCCGGGAAGCUUCCACGUUGAGGUCUCCAUCGCACCAAAUCGGUGUCUUAAAUUCGAAGUUCAAUAAGUUUCAAAAAACUCCCUGGUGUUAUGUCCCACUCUGGGCCUCGAAAUGCAUAGUCGAGUAAUAUGAGAAUCUCGAGAUUUGGCAGCAGCGAACCAAUGUCAUUCAUGUAAUUCCAAGGAUACCCCCCUAACCCAGACAACAUUAACACCUUGAGAUUUGAUGGAAACAUUGAAAGAGGAAUCGUAUUACACUCAUUCUUUAUCUCGGGAUUGUUAACCCAAUAUUCAAGUCUCUCCAAAUUCUGGAGUUGGGAGAUAUAACCCAAGCAACUCGAUGGGUUUCUUUCAUCAUCAUCAUCAUAAGGCUUCAACUCCACUUCAAUAAUUAAUUUCUUUAAAUUAGGAAUUCUUUUGAGAACUUCCCUUGUACAACUCUUUGCACUCACACCAAUAAGUGAGGUGAGUUUGUGCAAGGUAGCAUCAUCAGUAUUAGGGGUUGGUAGGUCGCUUCCCCAAAUCUGAAUCCCCUCUAGUUGUUGCAGGUUCCAAAUUUGCACAGGCAUAUAAGACUGAACUCCACGCUUUUUAAUGUAAAUAUGUGGAUCGGUAAUCAAGAAUUGAAGAUUAAAAAGGUUGGAUAUGGAAUGAGGGAGCUCCCCGUUGUAUUUUAGGGAAAGGUACCGCAGACAAACAAGUUUUAAAAUUUCAAUUGGGAUAUGGUAAAAUCGAACUCUAAGAGCACAUAGUACUCUAAGCAACUUGAAACCCAUGGCAUGUAUUGGGAUUGGAUAUGGGUGAUAAGGACCAUGACAAAGGAGAGAACGGGCAGUGGAUGCACAAUCACUUUUUAUCGAAUCAUACACUUGUUUGAAGCAGAAUAAACUAUUCCAAUGGGCACACAAGCGACGCUGGUCUUUUAUUACAUCAUCACAACCUCGUAAGACAUGUAGAAACUUGAUCCUACUAGCUUCUACCUUACAUAAGUGCUGCCAACAAGAAUGCACGCGAUACGCUCUAUUUGAAAUACCACAAAUUUUCUGUGUCGAGAACAAGAUGAUACGACUUAGAAAGCUUUUCCAAGAAACCUUCAAAACUUUUUUCAACAUUCAGUUCAAGAAAGCCCUCAGCACUCAAAAGAUAAUUAAUAUCGAAUGGUCUCUGAUCAGCAUAAGGAGGGAAAGCUCCCAUAUAGAGGAAAAACAUUUUUAAAUGUUGGGGUAAGUAGUCAUAGCUUGGGAAAAGUACCUCUGAUAUUUGAUUAUAUGCAUCCUCGAAAAGUGAGUUUUGUUGUUUGUAGGCUACCUCAGUCCAAUAUUCUGGGGUCUUGUCGGCUUUUGAUAGGAGCUCUGCAACUGUGACUAUCAUAAGCGGAAGACCUUCACAUUUCUCAGCAAUCUUCUCUCCCAGUUCCUUAAGUUGAGGAGGGAAACCGUCUUCACUAAACACCUUCUCACCAAACACCUUCUCACCAAGUAGUUUCUUACUAUCUUCUUCAUUCAACAAGCUCAAUAUCAUGCCCCCAUGCUGCUUGUAUGUUAUACGUUGUCUACUUGUAAGUAAGAACUGAAUCCCUCCAAGAGUAUUCUUUUCUCGCAAGCAAUUUGUCAAGCGAUUUGUUGCUUGUACCCCCCAAACAUCAUCCAACACGAUGAGGCAUUUCUUAUCCUGCAAUUUUUCUUUCAAUAGUCCAACUAAUUCCUCAUCAUCAUCUUCUCCUUGGGCAAGCAUUCGGUAAGCGUUGGGAUCCACUUGAGCUAGAACGCAACGUAAUAGUUCAUUGGGUUCGCAUUUUCUACCCACUUUGACCCAUGCUCGAAAGUCAAAAUGGCUCCGAAUUGAUGGAUCUUCAAAAAUAUGUUUAGCAAGAGUUGUCUUUCCAACUCCCGCCAUCCCAACGAGCGAACAAUGUUUAUCUUGAAGAAGAUUAUCUCUGGCUUUUUCAAGUUCAUAAGAUAAUCCAACUAUCUUUGAAUUGAUCAUUCCACCAAAAUCAAUUCUUGAGGAAAUAGGCUCGCCCUCUUCCUCUGGCAUAUUCAACUUUUCAAUGAUGUACUCUAUCUCCAUCAUCUUCACCAUCUCGAUGAAGCAAUCAACAUGGUGUUGCAGACUCUGCAGAUCUACAGAGAAUGACAAGUUGUGUCUCUCGCUUUCGAGUUGUUGAAGAAUCUGAGGUAAGAUAUGGGAUUCGAGUAAAUCUUCGAAUUCCCAAACUGCCUCUUUGAUGAGUUCAUCCGCAGCAUUCACCUUCGUCCUGAUCUUGCUGCAGCUGGUGUCAUCCAAUUUGAGCAGAAUUCUCUGCAAGUGAUCCAUCUGGUCGUAGGCAGGUUGUAAGAUUUGUGGAGAGUGGGAAACGAGAGAAAUGCGAGACGAUUGUAGAAUACGCUGAAUCGUAUUCUUGAGAGAAGCCGCCGCACCAUAAGCCGCCAUACCCAAAUUAUCAGCUGAAUCGAUUCAUAUUCAGUCGCCUAACAAAGAAUUGGAGAAGAAGAAGGAAUUAUAAUAAGCAAAUAGAGAUGAAACAAAUGAUAGAUCUCAGCUCUCUGCUUACCUCUUGGAGGAGUUGGCGCAAGUCAACGGUGGCAGCAGCUGGUUUUGAUACAAAUUCAGAAACAUUCAAUACCACAUUCAAGAACUUUAGUAAAUGAUUUGAAAAGAUGUGUAUAAUGUAAUGCUAAAUGCUAAAGUAAUAAAUUAAAGUUUGAAUAUAAAUUUAAUUCAAAAUCAUUAUUUAUGGGAUAUGAGAAAACUAAUGUUGGAAUGGGCAAAUGGGAUCAAAAGCCAACAGCUCUCAAUACCAGAUCUCGAUGCAAAGCAUGUGGGAAUAGUGAUGGCGUUUCAGACGAUGUUGAGUGUAAUCCAAAUACUCAACAGGGAUUUCAUGUAUUUUAAAUAUGAAGCCAUAAAUUAAUUAGUAUAUUGCCAUAAUCUUAAAAUUUUAAGAUAUAUAUAUAUAUAAAAAAAACACAUAAACUGUUUUCACACAAAUCCAACUUACAACAAUUUUGGUUACAAACACAAUUCAGCACUCAGGUUUCACAAUUUAUGUAAUUUGUGAAUUUAAUAAACUCUGAUCACAAUUUAUGAGUUAUAAAAAAAUAUAUAAAAAAGGAAAAUUGCUAACAUGGACUACACAUUAGCGGUGUUUAUCAUAGGUGCUCAUAAAUUGUGUGCAGUAUAUUGAUCCUCGUAUUUAUAAUAUCCUUAUUUUAAAUUUUUCUAGAUAGUUUUAUAAAUUUAAAAUAACAAGGAAAUAGUUAAGAGUUAUCAUAAUUAAAACAAUAAAAACUAAAAUUAGCAUAGUCGAAAUGAUAAUUAUUAAAAAAAUAUAGGAAACAGAAUAUUAAUCAAUUUUCCUUUUUUUCUAUAUUUUUUUAUAGCCUUCUGAAAACAUAAGAUUAAGUUGACAUUUGAUCUAAUGUUUAUGUGACGAUGUGUCCUUAAAUGUUUUAAAUUGUCAAUUAGUUCUAGAUCAUGACAUUGUUUAAUAUAUUUUGUGAUUACACAAUCAGACUAAUUAAAAGAAUCAUUAAAAAAAAUUCUCAUACCUACUCCAUUGACAUAAUUUUUUUUUGAAGAGACUCCAUUGACAUAAUUAGUAGGUCUAUUUCAUGCUAUAUAUGAAGGAGUCCACGUGUAAUUUAUUAAUGUUGGAUUUAUCAUAUUUUAAUGUGGUCAUGCUUUUUGUGAUUCAUCAUACAAGUACUCCAUUGGCAAAUUAUUCGUAGUGUUUGCAACACAGUUUUUAACUCAGGGUUUUUUAUUUUUUUAUUGAAGGCUCGAAAGAUCAUGAUUAGUUAUGUGGCAAUUAAACUAAUUAAAGAAAUAAAGAACUACUUAAUCUAAUUAUGAAAAAAGAACUUAUUAAAAAUAAUUAAAAUCCAAAAUUAAGGGGUCGAAAUUUAUGAAUUAUUUAGCCUUCUCUUAUUUCUAAUCAUUUAAAUCCAAAUUGAAAUUGAUAGUAAUUUUAUUUCUUACUCGAAAGUGCCAUGGAUUUUGAAUGUCUUCUAAAGAAAUCUAUAUAUAUAUAAAAGCUCAUCCAACUUCACAAUUUUUUUCCCGNAAAAUAUCACUUUUUCAUAUAACAUACGUGUCAAGUUGUUAUUUUAUUUUUGUUUAUAGAAGAUUAAUAAUAGUUCUCUAUGGUGGAAUAUCUAAAGUGCCAUGGGUUUUGAAUGUCUUCUACAGAAAUUGAGUAGAAUUUGAUGCCUUUUAAUAGUGAGGCAUAAUUUAAAAGAUAAAUGAUGGAGUUGGGCCUUAACUUUUUGUAUUGGGCCGAAAUUUUGUUUAUUAUAUGGAGAAGCCCAAUUGAUAGGCAAUGCCGUAAUAGGUUAGCUGAUAAAAAUGCUUUAGAAAUUUUAUGAAUGAUUAAUUAAUCUAAUUCUUUUCUUUUCUUCUUUGACAAUGAGAGCUCUUAAUCAGAUUCACUUCAUAGCUAAAUCAACAACAUUUUUAACCUCACAACUCUUGCAGUUAUUUAUUUACAUUGGAAAAGAACAAACUUAAUUAGCACAAUAAUUUUGUUCAUACAAACUCCCACCAAAUCAUGGCUUUUCUGUAGUCAUCAGCAAAACAACUUUUAAAUUUCAAGAAAUGUAAAAUAAACCUCAAAGAAAUAAAAUAACAAAAGAAGACAACAACAACAUGGGUUCUCAAAAUAAAAUGACAAUAAGACUACUGGAAAAAGCUCAUCCAAGUACUCAACAGGGAUUUCAUGAAUUUUAAAUAUGAAGCCCAGAAAUUAAUUAAUAUAUUGCCAUAAUCUUGAAAUUUUAAACCAUAUAUAAAAAAAAAACACAAACUGAUUACACACAAUAUGAAACAAAGUUAAAACUAAUGCAGAAGUCACAAAUAUUACAAUCCUUGAACAAGGGACAAAUAGUUUUCACACAAAUCCAACUUACAACAAUUUUGAUUACAAACAAAAUUCAGCACUCAGGUUUCACAAUCCUUGAAUUCAUACGACAAUGUGGCAAUACAACAAUCGAAAUUAUGGGAUAACGCGACGUCUGACCCCUUCGAUCAGCUCUCUCAUUUGCCUGAAAAUCGGUAGAUGGAAUCUCAAACAUUGUGACUAUAAUAGGAACAUUAAAAUGUGAUAUUGCAAAGAUAUUAGGUAGACCUAUGCAAAUCCUUGUGAUAAUCUAAAUAAUUUAGAAUCGAUCAAACUGCUUGAUAAAAAUAAUGCAAACUCUCAACUUUGAGGGAACAGCCUGUGACUUAAA